rnacentral:rRNA from 1 species
GACGAACGCUGGCGGCGUGCUUAACACAUGCAAGUCGAACGAAGUGGCGAACGGGUGAGUAACGCGUAAUCAACCUGCCCUUCAGAGGGGUACAACAGUUGGAAACGAAUGCUAAUACCCCAUACUGUAGGAUGGGAUUGCGUCUGAUUAGGAAUUUGGAGGGGUAACGGCACACCAAGGCGAUGAUCAGUAGCCGGUCUGAGAGGAUGAACGGCCACAUUGGGACUGAGACACGGCCCAGACUCCUACGGGAGGCAGCAGUGGGGAAUCUUCCGCAAUGGACGAAAGUCUGACGGAGCAACGCCGCGUGAGUGAUGACGGCCUUCGGGUUGUAAAGCUCUGUUAAUCGGGACGCGGUACCGGAAUAGAAAGCCACGGCUAACUACGUGCCAGCCGCCGCGGUAAUAC